rnacentral:tmRNA from 1 species
GGGGUCGACUGGUUUUGACAGCGAGACUUAUUAAAUGGUAAGCACGUCGUGUAAUGACUUUGAUACACGUAAAAGGCUAGGUCACAAUUUAAACGGCGAGAAUAACUACGCUUUAGCUGCCUAAUCUGAAUUACAGUAAGAUUAAGCCUCGUCCUACUAGGUAGGAAAGCUAAAUGUCUCUUGAAAGCCUUGGUUAGUGGCGUUCUAUUUAGAGGCAUCGUAAAAAUUAACUAAGAUUACGUAGUGCUUCGAUGCGUUUUCGAGAUUAAGAAGCUAAGUUAUAAGUAGACUGUUUUUUGCCGGCUUAUAAUCGAAAAUCAAUAAAAAACUAAACGUGUAGAAAGCUAUUUGGUAGCUUGUUUGGACGAGAGUUCGAUUCUCUCCGACUCCACAA